rnacentral:rRNA from 1 species
AUUGAACGCUGGCGGCAGGCUUAACACAUGCAAGUCGAACGGUAACAUAAAGAAGCUUGCUUCUUUGAUGACGAGUGGCGGACGGGUGAGUAAUGCUUGGGAAUCUAGCUUAUGGAGGGGGAUAACUACGGGAAACUGUAGCUAAUACCGCGUAGAAUCGAGAGAUGAAAGUGUGGGACCUUCGGGCCACAUGCCAUAGGAUGAGCCCAAGUGGGAUUAGGUAGUUGGUGAGGUAAAGGCUCACCAAGCCGACGAUCUCUAGCUGGUCUGAGAGGAUGACCAGCCACACUGGGACUGAGACACGGCCCAGACUCCUACGGGAGGCAGCAGUGGGGAAUAUUGCGCAAUGGGGGCAACCCUGACGCAGCCAUGCCGCGUGAAUGAAGAAGUGCCUUCGGGUUGUAAAGUUCUUUCGGUAGCGAGGAAGGCAUUUAGUUUAAUAGACUAGGUGAUUGACGUAA